CCAAUAGGGCUGCUUAGCAGGUUACUUUGAUAUAGUAGAUAGUAAAUUUCAUGUUUCGUUGGU
rnacentral:tRNA from 1 species